GAGGAGGACAUUUUCCAGCACUGCUUGGUCCCGCAGCAGCAGAAGGAGCUGGAGACUGUGUGGAGGAUGUGGCAGAUGGGGGAAGGUGAUGCGGGACAGGAAGCAAGCUGGAGCUGAAGGGAAAGCUUGAGAGUAAAAGAAGAGGAGGACAAAAAGAUGCAAACAGAAAGAAGAAAUGUGUGCAAAACUGGCUUUCAGUGAGGAAUCAAAGGAUACUGCCUUGUUACAGCUACUCGCAGAGCAGAGGCUCGAGGGAGAGCAAGCCAAAGCCAAAAUGAACAUGUGCCUUGCACUAAGAAAUCCCAGGAUUGUCACAACUUGUGCCAGCUGUUGAGGUUAUGACACCUGUGCCAGCAUCGCCAGCUCUGCCCACUGUCAUCUGUUCCAACUGUUCCAUCUGCACUGUUUGUACCAAUUCUCCCAUUUCUGCAUCUGUACCUUCUGCAGAAACGGGUCCAACAAUGCCAGCUGUGUCAUCGGUGCCAAAUAUGCCAGAUGUUCUAUUUGUCCACCCUGGGCCAAAUCAAUGUAGUUUUGUGCUCAUUAGUUUUAGCUGGUAGAUUCUAUUUCACAAUUUUUUGAGAUGCACUUAGAUCAAAUCAAUUCUAAAUCACCACUACAACUGCUUUACAUCUAUCUCACCAUAAACAGAACUUUGUUUGUCAUCCCAUGUUUGGUCAAAAUUAUUUUAAUCUUAUUAAAUUGCACAUGGUGAUUUGAGUUCUGUCUUAAUGGCAAGAUUAUUUUUUUCUUGUAGAGGAUGUAGCUGCAGAGAAAUGAAUAGAAAAAGAUAAGG